rnacentral:tRNA from 1 species
GGGGUUGUGGCUCAAGGUAGAGUGCUUGCCGAGCAAGAGGCCCUGGGUUCGAUCCCCAGCACCA